AGAGUUUGAUCCUGGCUCAGGAUGAACGCUAGCGGCAGGCUUAACACAUGCAAGUCGAGGGGCAGCGGGGAGGAAGCUUGCUUUCUCCGCCGGCGACCGGCGCACGGGUGAGUAACACGUAUGCAACCUGCCCCUGUCAGGGGGACAACCCGCCGAAAGGCGGGCUAAACCCGCGUACAUGCCACCGGGGCAUCCCGGAGGCAGGAAAGGCUUCGGCCGGACAGGGAUGGGCAUGCGGCGCAUUAGGCAGUAGGCGGGGUAACGGCCCACCUAACCGACGAUGCGUAGGGGUUCUGAGAGGAAGGUCCCCCACACUGGUACUGAGACACGGACCAGACUCCUACGGGAGGCAGCAGUGAGGAAUAUUGGUCAAUGGUCGGGAGACUGAACCAGCCAAGCCGCGUGAGGGAGGAAGGUACAGAGUAUCGUAAACCUCUUUUGUCAGGGAACAAAGGCGGGGACGUGUCCCCGGAUGAGUGUACCUGAAGAAAAAGCAUCGGCUAACUCCGUGCCAGCAGCCGCGGUAAUACGGAGGAUGCGAGCGUUAUCCGGAUUUAUUGGGUUUAAAGGGUGCGCAGGCGGUCUGUUAAGUCAGCGGUCAAAGCCCGGGGCUCAACCCCGGCCCGCCGUUGAAACUGGCAGUCUCGAGUUGGAGAGAAGUAUGCGGAAUGCGCGGUGUAGCGGUGAAAUGCAUAGAUAUCGCGCAGAACUCCGAUUGCGAAGGCAGCAUGCCGGCUCCACACUGACGCUGAGGCACGAAAGCGUGGGUAUCGAACAGGAUUAGAUACCCUGGUAGUCCACGCAGUAAACGAUGAAUGCUGGCUGUCCGGGGGGAUUGACCCCUGGGUGGCGAAGCGAAAGCGAUAAGCAUUCCACCUGGGGAGUACGCCGGCAACGGUGAAACUCAAAGGAAUUGACGGGGGCCCGCACAAGCGGAGGAACAUGUGGUUUAAUUCGAUGAUACGCGAGGAACCUUACCCGGGCUCAAACGGGGAGUGACUCAGGCAGAGACGCCUGUUUCCCACGGGACACUCCCCGAGGUGCUGCAUGGUUGUCGUCAGCUCGUGCCGUGAGGUGUCGGCUUAAGUGCCAUAACGAGCGCAACCCCCGCGUGCAGUUGCUAACAGAUAACGCUGAGGACUCUGCACGGACUGCCGGCGCAAGCCGCGAGGAAGGCGGGGAUGACGUCAAAUCAGCACGGCCCUUACGUCCGGGGCGACACACGUGUUACAAUGGGUGGUACAGCGGGAAGCCAGGCGGCGACGCCGAGCGGAACCCGAAAUCCACUCUCAGUUCGGAUCGGAGUCUGCAACCCGACUCCGUGAAGCUGGAUUCGCUAGUAAUCGCGCAUCAGCCAUGCCGCGGUGAAUACGUUCCCGGGUCUUGCACUCACCGCCCGUCA
rnacentral:rRNA from 1 species